rnacentral:rRNA from 1 species
GAUGAACGCUAGCUACAGGCUUAACACAUGCAAGUCGAGGGGCAGCAUGGUCUUAGCUUGCUAAGGCCGAUGGCGACCGGCGCACGGGUGAGUAACACGUAUCCAACCUGCCGUCUACUCUUGGACAGCCUUCUGAAAGGAAGAUUAAUACAAGAUGGCAUCAUGAGUUCACAUGUUCACAUGAUUAAAGGUAUUCCGGUAGACGAUGGGGAUGCGUUCCAUUAGAUAGUAGGCGGGGUAACGGCCCACCUAGUCUUCGAUGGAUAGGGGUUCUGAGAGGAAGGUCCCCCACAUUUGAACUGAGACACGGUCCAAACUCCUACGGGAGGCAGCAGUGAGGAAUAUUGGUCAAUGGGCGAGAGCCUGAACCAGCCAAGUAGCGUGAAGGAGGACUGCCCUAUGGGUUGUAAACUUCUUUUAUAAAGGAAUAAAGUCGGGUAUGUAUACCCGUUUGCAUGUACUUUAUGAAUAAGGAUCGGCUAACUCCGUG